rnacentral:rRNA from 1 species
CCUACGGGAGGCAGCAGUGAGGAAUAUUGGUGAAUGGGCGCGAGCCUGAACCAGCCAAGUAGCGUGAAGGAUGAAUGCCCUACGGGUUGUAAACUUCGUUUAUAAAGGAAUAAAGUGAGGCACGUGUGCCGUUUUGUAUGUACUUUAUGAAUAAGGAUCGGCUAACUCCGUGCCAGCAGCCGCGGUAAUACGGAGGAGCCGAGCGUUAUCCGGCUUUAUGGGGGUUAAAGGGAGCGUAGAGGGGUUGUUAAGUCAGUUUUGCAAGUUUGCGGCUCAACCGUACAAUGGCAAUUGCUACUGGCAGUCUUGAGUACCGUUGAGGUCGGCGGCAUUCGUGUUGUCGCGG